ensembl:lncRNA
UCCCUCAGGGAAGAUGGCAGUGCCAAUCUUCCCUCUGUCCCUCAGGGAAGGUGACACUGGGCCCAUGCCAGGAGUUUGUCCCUCACGGAAGGUGACACUGGGUUGACCUGCCAUGUUUGUCCCUCAGGGAAGGUGACACUGGGCCAAUUCCAGGAAUUUGUCCCUCAGGGAAAAUGGCACUGGGCCCAUCCCAGGAAUUUGUCCCUCAGGGAAGAUGGCAGUGCCCAAUCCCAGGAAUUUGUCCCUCAGGGAAGAUGGCAGUGCCCAAUCCCAGGAAUUUGUCCCUCAGGGAAGGUGCCACUGGGCCAAUUCCAGGAAUUUGUCCCUCAGGGAAGGUGCCACUGGGCCCAUGCCAGGAGUUUGUCCCUCACGGAAGGUAACACUGGGCCAAUUCCAGGAAUUUUUCCCUCAGGGAAGGUGCCACUGGGCUAACCCGCCAUGUUUGUCCCUCAGGGAAGGUGGCGGUGGCCGUGUCCUGCCGGGAGCCCUACCUGUGCGCCCAGUGCCACACGGACUUCACGUGCCGCUGGCGGGAGGAGAAGAACGGCACCAUCAUGUGCGAGACCUGCAUGGCCUCCAACCAGAAGAAAGCGCUGAAGGCCGAGCACACGAACCGGCUCAAGGCCGCCUUCGUCAAGGCCCUGCAGCAGGAGCAGGAGAUCGAGCAGAGGAUCCUGCAGCAAACGGCCCCUCCUGGGCAGCCCAAGGCCGAGCCCGUGGGGCAGCACCACGCGCUCAAGCAGAGUUCCAGCCAGAUGUCCCGAGGUGCUGGUGCUUCCAGAGGGGUCCUGCACACCUUCAGCUCCUCCCCAAAGCUCCAGAGCUCCUCGGGCACCCUCGGGAGCCGGCCCGGAAAACACUCGGAAAGAUCCGGAAAAGGAGGAGCGAGCGCCUGGAAGAAAAAUCCCAUUGGCACAGGUGGGGCCCUGCCCUUCGUCAGCCCCGCCCUGGCCGUGCACAAAUCGGCCUCGGCCGUGGAGCGGCAGCGCGAAUAUCUCCUGGAUAUGAUCCCGCCCCGCUCCAUCCCACAGUCGGCCACGUGGAAAUAAAAUUCCCGAGGGAGAACUUUUUACCAGGCUCUGCCAUCCUUUGGGAUUUGGGUUUUUUUUUUGUUUCUUUGGAAUUUUAUUUUUUUUUUUUUAACCACAAUUCCGUGGAAUCUGCUUUAAUUCCCAGCUGGAAAAACGCCCCGAGGCUUUUUUUAGGAUGCGACAUCACCGAUCCUCAUCCGUCCCUGCCGGGAGAAAAGCGAAUCCCGGCUCCGUUGGCUCCCAGAUUUUUCAUGGAAGCUGGCAGGGAAAAAGAGGAAGAAUUCCUUUAAUUUGUUAUAUUUUUUUUUGGCUUUUUCCCUUAUUUAGUUUUGGAAUUUUUUUGGCACCAGCACAACACAAGGACUCAGCGAUUCCUCUUCCGCCGAACGUUUUUUUUGCCGGGAAAACGCCUCCGGAAUUCCGGAAUUUCGGGGGUGUGGAGAGAGGAAUUCCAGCCUCAUCCUGCAUUUAGUGAGCCGAGUUUGUGGCUGCUCCUUUUUCCCUGCUCCUCUUCCAGCCGGGAAAGCGGGCGGCUCAUCCCGAUAUUCCCAAAAUCCCGACGAUUCCGUGCAGAAGAAAAACUCAAAUUCCCGAUUCCGCUUGAGAAUGGUUCGGUUUUGUUUCGUUUUCCUUUCAGGAAAUCCCAAAUCUCGGCUGGAAAGUGGGAAUUGCGGGAGAUUCCCGCUUUUUUUUUUGGAUUCUGGUUGGAAUAAACUUCGGAAGCGUUGGGAAUUUCCA